CGUGCCUAACACAUGCAAGUCGUAACGGAACUUUUUCGGAUGAGACUUCGGUUGAUGAAGAAAAGUUUAGUGGCGGACGGGUGAGUAACGCGUGAGCAACCUGCCUUACAGAGGGGACAACAGUUGGAAAACGACUGCUAAUACCGCAUGAAAUAGCGAGAGGGCAUCCUUUUGCUAUCAAAGAUUUUUAUCGCUGUAAGAUGGGCUCGCGUAUGAUUAGAUAGUUGGUGAGGUAACGGCUCACCAAGUCGACGAUCAUUAGCCGGACUGAGAGGUUGAACGGCCACAUUGGGACUGAGAUACGGCCCAGACUCCUACGGGAGGCAGCAGUGGGGAAUCUUCCGCAAUGGGCGAAAGCCUGACGGAGCAACGCCGCGUGAACGAAGAAGGUUUUCGGAUCGUAAAGUUCUGUUCUUAGAGACGAAAGAUACGAUUGUGAAUAAUGAUCGUAAGUGACGGUAACUAAGGAGCAAGCCACGGCUAACUACGUG
rnacentral:rRNA from 1 species